ACAUUCUUCAGCCCUUCCUAUAUAAAAGGUCUUCACUUUCUCUCCUUCAGUUUUAUGCAUAUGCUGAGUGAAUGUGUAUGACACAAUGGAAAUUGCGUGCUUUGAAGGCUGCUCAAGUUAGUGAGGGUGGAAAGUUAAAUUUCCCUGAAGUACUUGUUUUAAAAAAAGGGAAGAAAACCUUCUGAUCUGCUCAGUAGGACUCAAAUUAAAAGAGGCACAUGCCCUACCACCUGUGCAGGAACAAACAACCUGAAAAGCACCUUGAGCUGCUGUGUCACAGAACAAAGACUCCUGGGUACACCUGCUUUGGACAUGGAAUGUGUGAACAUUGCUUGGAAAAAAUAGCUCAACUGUGAAUAGAUAUUUGAUAAAUAGGCCGUAGUCAUUAUGAUAUUAUCAAAUGCAAGCAAAUCCACAUCCUCAUCUUGGUGAAUUUAACAAGGGAAGAUGGCUUAUGUAUCUACUGGUACUGUUCAUAGUUUGAUACUUCAUCUUCUCUAUCUAGAGAAGGUAAGAAAAUUUUCUCUUAAUUUUACUACCAGGAAUGGUUUUAUUAAGUUAGCUGAAAUACAUAGAAAUAUCCAGUUGGUAGCAAGUAGUGGCUUGGAAAAAUUCUGCUUUAAUAGUUGAUGCUUGCUAGUUUUAAACAGGAAAGAGUUGAAAAUAGUGAGGAUAUACAAAUAAAGUCAGUAAUAUUGUUUUUAAACUGUUGUUGUACUCUGUUCUUAUAUGCUCUGCUUUUAUUUUGACACAAUCUGUAUGAGCACUUUUAAAAAAUGUGCUAUGAUACAUAAUUAAAGUGAGCUUCUGGGAAAUCUCUGUGCCUGUCAGAUAGUGAUUUUAUAAAACCCAAGAAAAAAUAGAGCAUUAAUCUCAUCACCAGCUACCAGUUUCUUCUUUUACUUUAUUUCUAGUGGCUUCUAUUUAAUCAGAAUUCCUGGACAGUCAGACCUGAACUUUUCUCACAGUAAGCUGUUUCAGGUGGCACAGGUGCAUUUGAGAAGUAUUUUCUCUCAUAUGUUUAAUGAAGCUUUGGAUUUAAUCUAGAACUUUAUGUUAGUGAAUUUCCCGUUGAGAUACAUUAUCAUGCUUACCUGUCAUGUGAUUUCACAAAGGGAGUCAUUCUGCUUUCCUUACUGUUCCUUUCAAAGAUAAAUUUUUAAAAAUCUGGUAAUUUUAGCAGAUGAGCUAAUUAUAAUGAAAUGCUAUCUUCCUUUUUGCAUACAGUUCUCAUAGAUAUCAUGUAAAGACCUAACUGCCAACAGAGCUUUACUCAGUGUUGAGUGAGUGGUCAGUCAAAGAAUUGCCCUUCAAGUUACUUUGAUUAUGGAAUCUGGAAAUGGCAACUUAAGGAUGAAACAGUGUUACAAACUUAUUUU
ensembl:lncRNA